GACGAAGGGGGCUAGCGUUGUUCGGAAGUACUGGGCGUAAAGCGAGUGUAGGUGGUUGUCGUAGUCAGGCGUGAAAGCCUUGAGCUCAACUCAAGAAAUGCGCUUGAUACUGGGCAGCUAGAGGACCGGAGAGGAUAGUGGAAUUCCCAGUGUAGUGGUGAAAUACGUAGAGAUUGGGAAGAACACCAGUGGCGAAGGCGGCUAUCUGGACGGUUUCUGACACUAAGACUCGAAAGCGUGGGGAGCAAACAGG
rnacentral:rRNA from 1 species